UUAAGCGACUAAGCGUACACGGUGGAUGCCCUGGCAGUCAGAGGCGAUGAAGGACGUGCUAAUCUGCGAAAAGCGUCGGUAAGGUGAUAUGAACCGUUAUAACCGGCGAUGUCCGAAUGGGGAAACCCAGUGCAAUUCGUUGCACUAUCGUUAACUGAAUACAUAGGUUAACGAGGCGAACCGGGGGAACUGAAACAUCUAAGUACCCCGAGGAAAAGAAAUCAACCGAGAUUCCCCCAGUAGCGGCGAGCGAACGGGGAGCAGCCCAGAGUCUGAAUCAGCUUGUGUGUUAGUGGAACGGUCUGGAAAGUCCGACGGUACAGGGUGAUAGUCCCGUACACCAAAAUGCACAGGCUGUGAACUCGAAGAGUAGGGCGGGACACGUGGUAUCCUGUCUGAAUAUGGGGGGACCAUCCUCCAAGGCUAAAUACUCCUGACUGACCGAUAGUGAACCAGUACCGUGAGGGAAAGGCGAAAAGAACCCCGGCGAGGGGAGUGAAAAAGAACCUGAAACCGUGUACGUACAAGCAGUGGGAGCACCUUCGGGUGUGACUGCGUACCUUUUGUAUAAUGGGUCAGCGACUUAUAUUCUGUAGCAAGGUUAACCGUAUAGGGGAGCCGCAGGGAAACCGAGUCUUAACUGGGCGUUAAGUUGCAGGGUAUAGACCCGAAACCCGGUGAUCUAGCCAUGGGCAGGUUGAAGGUUGGGUAACACUAACUGGAGGACCGAACCGACUAAUGUUGAAAAAUUAGCGGAUGACUUGUGGCUGGGGGUGAAAGGCCAAUCAAACCGGGAGAUAGCUGGUUCUCCCCGAAAGCUAUUUAGGUAGCGCCUCGUGAAUUCAUCUUCGGGGGUAGAGCACUGUUUCGGCUAGGGGGUCAUCCCGACUUACCAACCCGAUGCAAACUACGAAUACCGAAGAAUGUUAUCACGGGAGACACACGGCGGGUGCUAACGUCCGUCGUGAAGAGGGAAACAACCCAGACCGCCAGCUAAGGUCCCAAAGUCAUGGUUAAGUGGGAAACGAUGUGGGAAGGCACAGACAGCCAGGAUGUUGGCUUAGAAGCAGCCAUCAUUUAAAGAAAGCGUAAUAGCUCACUGGUCGAGUCGGCCUGCGCGGAAGAUGUAACGGGGCUAAACCAUGCACCGAAGCUGCGGCAGCGACACUAUGUGUUGUUGGGUAGGGGAGCGUUCUGUAAGCCUGCGAAGGUGUGCUGUGAGGCAUGCUGGAGGUAUCAGAAGUGCGAAUGCUGACAUAAGUAACGAUAAAGCGGGUGAAAAGCCCGCUCGCCGGAAGACCAAGGGUUCCUGUCCAACGUUAAUCGGGGCAGGGUGAGUCGACCCCUAAGGCGAGGCCGAAAGGCGUAGUCGAUGGGAAACAGGUUAAUAUUCCUGUACUUGGUGUUACUGCGAAGGGGGGACGGAGAAGGCUAUGUUAGCCGGGCGACGGUUGUCCCGGUUUAAGCAUGUAGGCUGGUUGUCCAGGCAAAUCCGGAUAAUCAAGGCUGAGGUGUGAUGACGAGGCACUACGGUGCUGAAGUAACAAAUGCCCUGCUUCCAGGAAAAGCCUCUAAGCAUCAGGUAACAUUAAAUCGUACCCCAAACCGACACAGGUGGUCAGGUAGAGAAUACCAAGGCGCUUGAGAGAACUCGGGUGAAGGAACUAGGCAAAAUGGUGCCGUAACUUCGGGAGAAGGCACGCUGGUGUGUAGGUGAAGUCCCUGCGGAUGGAGCUGAGACCAGUCGAAGAUACCAGCUGGCUGCAACUGUUUAUUAAAAACACAGCACUGUGCAAACACGAAAGUGGACGUAUACGGUGUGACGCCUGCCCGGUGCCGGAAGGUUAAUUGAUGGGGUUAUCCGUAAGGAGAAGCUCUUGAUCGAAGCCCCGGUAAACGGCGGCCGUAACUAUAACGGUCCUAAGGUAGCGAAAUUCCUUGUCGGGUAAGUUCCGACCUGCACGAAUGGCGUAAUGAUGGCCAGGCUGUCUCCACCCGAGACUCAGUGAAAUUGAACUCGCUGUGAAGAUGCAGUGUACCCGCGGCAAGACGGAAAGACCCCGUGAACCUUUACUAUAGCUUGACACUGAACAUUGAGCCUUGAUGUGUAGGAUAGGUGGGAGGCUUUGAAGCGUGGACGCCAGUCUGCGUGGAGCCAACCUUGAAAUACCACCCUUUAAUGUUUGAUGUUCUAACGUUGGCCCCUUACCGGGGUUGCGGACAGUGUCUGGUGGGUAGUUUGACUGGGGCGGUCUCCUCCCAAAGCGUAACGGAGGAGCACGAAGGUUAGCUAAUCCUGGUCGGACAUCAGGAGGUUAGUGCAAUGGCAUAAGCUAGCUUGACUGCGAGCGUGACGGCGCGAGCAGGUGCGAAAGCAGGUCAUAGUGAUCCGGUGGUUCUGAAUGGAAGGGCCAUCGCUCAACGGAUAAAAGGUACUCCGGGGAUAACAGGCUGAUACCGCCCAAGAGUUCAUAUCGACGGCGGUGUUUGGCACCUCGAUGUCGGCUCAUCACAUCCUGGGGCUGAAGUAGGUCCCAAGGGUAUGGCUGUUCGCCAUUUAAAGUGGUACGCGAGCUGGGUUUAGAACGUCGUGAGACAGUUCGGUCCCUAUCUGCCGUGGGCGCUGGAGAAUUGAGGGGGGCUGCUCCUAGUACGAGAGGACCGGAGUGGACGCAUCACUGGUGUUCGGGUUGUCAUGCCAAUGGCACUGCCCGGUAGCUAAAUGCGGAAGAGAUAAGUGCUGAAAGCAUCUAAGCACGAAACUUGCCCCGAGAUGAGUUCUCCCUGAGACUUUAAGUCUCCUGAAGGAACGUUNGACGUUGAUAGGCCGGGUGUGUAAGCGCAGCGAUGCGUUGAGCUAACCGGUACUAAUGAACCGUGAGGCUUAACCUU
rnacentral:rRNA from 1 species